GGGAGCCUAAGAAGCAGUCACGCCAGUGAUUGUGGAGGCGUCCUUGAAAUACCACCCUUUAACGUUUGAUGUUCUAACGAAGAUUGCGAAACGCGGUCUCGGACAGUGUCUGGUGGGUAGUUUGACUGGGGCGGUCUCCUCCCAAAGAGUAACGGAGGAGCACGAAGGUUUGCUAAUCACGGUCGGACAUCGUGAGGUUAGUGCAAUGGUAUAAGCAAGCUUAACUGCGAGACAGACAAGUCGAGCAGGUGCGAAAGCAGGUCAUAGUGAUCCGGUGGUUCUGAAUGGAAGGGCCAUCGCUCAACGGAUAAAAGGUACUCCGGGGAUAACAGGCUGAUACCGCCCAAGAGUUCAUAUCGACGGCGGUGUUUGGCACCUCGAUGUCGGCUCAUCACAUCCUGGGGCUGAAGUAGGUCCCAAGGGUAUGGCUGUUCGCCAUUUAAAGUGGUACGCGAGCUGGGUUUAGAACGUCGUGAGACAGUUCGGUCCCUAUCUGCCGUGGGCGUUGGAGAAUUGAGAGGGGCUGCUCCUAGUACGAGAGGACCGGAGUGGACGCAUCACUGGUGUACCAGUUGUCUCGCCAGAGGCACUGCUGGGUAGCUAAAUGCGGAAGAGAUAAGUGCUGAAAGCAUCUAAGCACGAAACUCGCCUUAAGAUGAGUUCUCCCA
rnacentral:rRNA from 1 species